rnacentral:lncRNA from 1 species
CUUUUAAAGAUCAAGUAAAUUAUAGCAUUCUGAUAUUUUUUGUAUACGGCAAAAGGCUAAAAUGUGGAUUUGAGACCUAAAUGGUAGAGUAAUGAAAGGAUAAAUGCAGUGAUUGACACUGGUACAGCAAAUUGAGAUAACUGUUGUCAUUUGAGUAAGGGUCUAAAUGUACAAAACAUGCUUGGCAAAGUUUGGGUGACAUCUCUAUAAUUCCAUUUCCCUUUUGUCAUGUUAUAUCAGAUCAAAAGCGAGGUCAAAGCAGAUGCCACACAGAACAACACUUAUAUUGCCAAGAAGAGCCUAUGACUGUGAUUCAAGUUAACAUAUAAAUCCACCUGGAGAAAUUAUGGGAACUUUAUAGAAGAUGAAGGAGGUAGAGAUGUGUACAUAAUUGGAGGAAACAGAUGUAAGACUCCUGUCCUUUUCCCUUAGAAAGAACUGCUUGGGACACAAAAGAUAGAGCAAGUAGUAAGUGGUAGCUGAGGUUGUCUCAUUCCUCUUCUAAAACAGCCAAAAUGAAUACUAUCAGAAGCGCAUCAUUUUUUGCCAAGCUUUCAGAGCUCUGAAACCAAUCUCUAGAAGUACAUCUACACUGUAGAAUUAAUGCAGCUUGACACCACUUUAACAACUAUGGAAUCGGUUGUAGUUCAGUAGGGUAUAAGCACUAUUGUAUUUCACUGCAUAAUAGUCACAAUUUUAGCCCCUUUUUGUAAAAAAAAAGGGUGUGCGACUAUUACAUGAUAAAAAAUAUUGGAUGCAUAGACAAGUAAAGCGGCGCUUCAUUCACUCCCUCACUCAUUCAUCCAUGUGCCUGCUCUCCUUUCAGGCACAGUACUUCAUGUGGCUGAGUCUAAAAGCAAAGAAGGCAACAUAAACAAGGCAAAGUCAGUCUCGACUCAGAAACAAAGAAAGAAAGGUAACAAGGCAAGGUCCACUCAGGAGUAGCAGCUCAGUGCGGCUUGCAUGGAACUAGGAACCUGGCUCAGUUUCCAAACAGGAGACGAGGCUGGGAGCUGGAAACUGGAACCUCUUCUGAGGAAAGG